rnacentral:RNase_P_RNA from 1 species
UGAAGUCGCCGUCGCCCGCAAGGGCGGCGGAGGAAAGUCCGGACUCCGCAGGGCAGGGCGUCCGGCUGUCAAGGCCGGAACGGCGUUGCAAUACCGGCGUCGAUGGAAAGUGCCACAGAAACAAACCGCCCCGCUGGCCCCGUAAGGGACCUCGUGGUAAGGGUGAAAAGGCGGUGCAAGAGACCACCGGCGCGGUCGAGAGGCCGCGCGUCCAGGCAAACCCCGCCCGGAGCAAGAUCAAAUAGGGGGACGAGGCGUGGCCCGCGCCGCUUGCCCGCAAGGGCAAUGAGUCCCCGGGUUGAUUGCUUAGAUGAAUGACUUCACUCCGCGAAAGCGGAACACAGAAUCUGGCUUAUGAAUCCCC